rnacentral:lncRNA from 1 species
AGGUGACAGAAAGACUAGACAAGAUGGCGGAGGUCACACGAGUGCUGGGAAAUGAAGAAGGGCUUCAAGCUGCUCCUCCGAUUUUAAAGCCAAGCAAUGUGCCUAGCACUGUGCUGCUGUGAGCCAGACAAUGACCUUCCCCCGGAGCAAUUAAAAGAUGUUUUCAAAGUUGUUUUUUAAACCGUUCAAAUGUGCUUUCUCUCAUGCCUGUCUUUACGUGGACGGACAUGUGCCAAGCCAGUGACAUUGUAAGCGUAUAUGGAAGGGGAAAGCGGUGACAAUUGUUAAGGGCCUCCUGCAAUAGACAUUCUUUUAAUGGUGUAAAAUGUUAUGACCUCUCAUUUUAAUCUUUACAAGAACCUC